CUCUAGCAUUUCCAGUAUUAGAGGCACUGCCUGCCCAGUGACAUUAGUUAAACGGCCGCGGUAUCCUGACCGUGCAAAGGUAGCAUAAUCAUUUGUUCCUUAAAUAGGGACUUGUAUGAAUGGCCACACGAGGGCUUUACUGUCUCUUACUUCCAAUCCGUGAAAUUGACCUUCCCGUGAAGAGGCGGGAAUACGACAAUAAGACGAGAAGACCCUGUGGAGCUUUAAUUAAUCGACCCAAAGAGACCUUAAUAACCAACCGACAGGAACAACAGACCUCUGCCAUGGGCCGACAAUUUAGGUUGGGGUGACCUCGGAGAAUAAAACAACCUCCGAGUGAUUUAAAUCUAGACUAACCAGUCGAAAGUAUUACAUCACUUAUUGAUCCNAAAGCUUGAUCAACGGAACAAGUUACCCCAGGGAUAAC
rnacentral:rRNA from 1 species